rnacentral:lncRNA from 1 species
AUGCCCGAACCCACACUUAAAAUGAAAAGUCAACAGCUAUUCAUUCCUGAGGGUGGCCUUGAGCUGACCCUAGUGAGUGCCUUGUUUUCUAUGGUUAGAGACGCUGACCUACAUAAUCACCUUUUCUCCAGACCUGAGCCCCGGGACUUGAGAAACACCAAGCGUAAGACAUCAUCAACCCCCGGGUGUUCUGAAGCCCCACUCCUUUUCUCUUUCUUGACCAUUGUUGCUGAAUGUGAAGAUCCCCACCUUUCCUGCCCUCCUGGGGACCUUAGGAAUUCUGCUCCUCAUUGCAGGUUGAACUCCAUCCAAACUUCAGGACCCAUCCUGUCCAUGACAAGGGGACAUUCAAGAAACUCUUACAUUCAUGGGUUUUGUACUCAUAGUUCUGUCUACUCUGGUGUGACUUGAUCUAGUCACCCAUAAGUUUGCUAUGAGAAGAGUUUGAAUCCUCAGCCUUCAGACAGAAGCAUGAGUCAGUGACUCAGCCGCAGGGUGACUUUGGCUUCUGACAUCCAGUAGCCCCACCUUGGUGCAUGUUCCUGGUUCUUUACACCUUAUGGCAUGGACAGUUGUCAUCAUACACUCAACAGUCUUUCCCAAAAUGGGUGGUCAUGAAGUUGGAGAUUUCCAAACAACACGGCAUGUCUCUUUCAUAAAUAUGAGUUAAGCACAUGAAAAUUGGAUUCAGGGGCCGGGCGCGGUAGCUCAUGCCUGUAAUCCCAGCACUUUGGGAGGCCGAGGUGGGCAGAUCACGUGAGGUCGGGAGUUCGAGACCAGCCUGACAAAUAUGAAGAAAACCUGUCUCUACUAAAAAAACAAAAUUAGCCAGGCGUAGUGGCACAUGUGUAAUCCCAGCCACCCGGAAGGUUGAGGCAGGAGAAUCACUUGAACCCAGGAGAUGGAGGUUGAGGUGAGCCGGGAUUGCACCAUUGUACUCCAGCCUGGGCAACAAGAAUGCAACUCCGUCUCAAAAAAAGAAAAGAAAAGAAAAUUAGAUUCAGGCAGACUUGGGCUCUGUCCUGACACUGGAUGUAAGAUCUUGACUGAAUUAGCCUUGCUAAGCUUCAAUGUUCUCAUCGUUAUAAUAGAGGUUUCCAUAAUUACUAUUAAAUAAGAUAAUGUAUAUAAAGUGCUGAGUGCCAUGCUCAGCACAUACAGUAAAUGAACAAUAAAUGGUACAUCAGAAUGAAUUUCAGAUGGAUCAAAGAUUGAAAUGUAAAAAGUAAAAUAAUAAAAAUAAUUGAAGACUGCCAGCCACAGUGGUUCACGCCUGCAAUCCCAGCACUUUUGGAAGCUGAGACAGGCGGAUCAUUUGAGGUCAGGAGUUCAAGACUAGCAUGGCCAACAUAAUGAAACCCUGUCUCUACUAAAAAUACAAAAAUUAGCUGGGCAUGGUGCCACACGCCUGUAAUCCCAGCUACUUGGGAGGCUGAGGCAUGAGAAUCACUUGAACCCAGGAGGCAGAGGUUGCAGUGAGCUGAGAUAGUGCCACUGCACUUCAGCCUGGGUGACAGAGCAAGACUCUGUCUCAAAAUAAUAAUAAUAAUAAUUGAAGGCAACAUAGGAUAUUAUUUUUAUAAUAUCAGAAUAGAGAAGACUUUCUUAGAUCUGAUAUAUGUGAAAAAGAAGGAGGAGAAAUAGAAGCAAAGAAUCCCCAAAUGAAAAGAUUAAUACAUUUGACUAUUUGGAAUAUAAAACGUUUCUACAUAGGAAAAAAAAAUAGUAUUGGCCAUGCACAGUGGCUCAUGCCUAUUAACCGCAUAUGUUAGGAGGUUGAGGUAGGAGGAUCACUUGAAGCCUGGAGUUCCAGACCAUCCUGGGCAAGACAGAAUGACCCCUUCUCAACAACAACAACAACAAUUAGCUGGGGAUGGUGGUGGGUGCCUAUAGUUCCAGCUACUUGGGAGCCUCCCUCAGGAGGAUCCUCUCAGCAGGAGGAUCGCUUGGCCUGAGGAGUUCAAAGCUGCAGUGAGUACAAUGGCACCACUGCACUCCAGCCUGAGCAACAGAGUGAGACCCCAUCUCUAAAAAAAAAAUUAAAAUUAAAAUUAAACAUUAAGCAAAUAAACGACAAACUGGAAAAAUGCAUUUGUACUGUAUAACAAAAGGAGUUAAUUUCCUUAACAUAUAAAAAUCUUCUAGAAAUCAACAACAGAGGCCAGGCACGGUGGCUUACGCCUGUGAUCCCAGCACUUUGGGAGGUCAAGGUGGGUGGAUCACCUGAGGUCAGGAGUUUGAGCCUAGCCUGGCCAACAUGGUGAAACCCCGUCUCUACUAAAAAUACAAAAAAUUAGCUGGGUGUGGUGAUGGGCGCCUGUAAUCCCAGCUACUCGGGAGGCUGAGGCAGGAGAAUCACUUGAACCCAGGAGGCGGAGGUUGCAGUGAACUGAGAUUAUGCCACUGCACUCCAG